CUUUGGAAGACGGUUAUGGCAGCUGCAGAAUGAGAUCAGAAGCUGAUUAUAUUUAGAACUUGAGUGGAAGCCAAAUUCCUAGAUACAAGUGUCUACAGUCAAAGUUAUGGCCCUAAUUGGAAUAAACAAGGAUUCUGAAAAAUAUCUGGGAAGUCUUGGAUUAGCUCCUGAUUAGAAGAUACCCAACACAGCUCAUGUUACUUCAGAAAUGCAUGAUGAUGAAGAACAUGAUGCCUUUUGGCACAGUUUGGUGCUAUCUCCAGACUCUAGCAGUUUUACCCAUUGCUAUGAUCUGAAUCUUGGUGUCCCUCAAAAUUCCCAUGUUGGAACCUAAUGCCCAAUGUGGUAGUGUUAACAGGUGGGGCCUUUUGGGAAAUGA